rnacentral:rRNA from 1 species
UUCCGGAGAGGGAGCCUGAGAAACGGCUACCACAUCCAAGGAAGGCAGCAGGCGCGCAAAUUACCCAAUCCAGACAUUGGGAGGUAGUGACGAGAAAUACUGGGGGCGCUCCUAGUGAGUGCCGUCCGGAAUGAACGUAACACAAAAAAUUCGAUGAGGAUCUACUGGAGGGCAAGUCUGGUGCCAGCAGCCGCGGUAAUUCCAGCUCCAGUAGUGUAUAUCAAUAUUGUUGCGCUUAAAACGCUCGUAGUUGGAUUACAUCGCAUCAGCAAGCCGGCAAUUUGUGUGCUGGUGGAGUGUUUGUCAAACCUUGAAGCCAAAACCUCGGGGGUUGGUAGACGAUGGGGCUGUUUAUCGCGCUGGUUGGGGCUGGCUGACUUUAUUGUUGCCCACCCACAGCCGGGGGAGUGUGCCUUGAAUAAAACGUGGUGCUCAAAGCAAGCAAAGUACGCUCGAGUGUAAUAGCAUGGAACAAAUAAGGAGGGCCGGUGCCUUGCUACUUUGGUGUAGAUAAGGCCCGGACAGUCAGUGUUGGUUGUGUCGACGGUCUCAACGGUUAACAGGGACACCUGAGGGCACUAGUACUCUGUGGCGAGAGGUGAAAUUCUUAGACCCGCAGAAGACUGACUACUGCGAAAGCAUUUGCCAAGAGUGUUUUCAUUAAUCAAGAACGAAGGUCAGAGGAUCGAAGACGAUCAGAUACCGUCCUAGUUUUGACAGCAAACUAUGCCGGCAUAGGUUUGGCGCGGCCGAUCACCGGUAAUGUGUGUUUGGGCCACGGCAGACCUUAGGGGAAACCUAGCUUUCGGGCUGCUGGGAGAAUAUCGCUGCAAGGCUGAAAUUUAAAGAAAUUGACGGAGAGGCACCACCAGGAGUGGAGCCUGCGGCUUAAUUUGACUCAACACGGGGAAACUCACCAGGUCCAGACAUUGGUAGGAUUGACAGACUGGUAGAUCUUUCAUGAUUCAGUGAAUGGUGGUGCAUGGCCGUUCUUAGUUGGUGGAGUGAUCUGUCAGGUCUAUUCCGGUAACGAGCGAGACCACGGCCUUGGAGUUGGUCCAAGCCCUCGUUAGAGGGCUUGCUCUGCGGACCUAUCUCAAGGGACUAUUGGCGCUAACAAAGCCAGGGGAAGCGUGGCAAUAACAGGUCUGUGAUGCCCUUCGAUGUCCUGGGCUGCACGCGCGCUACAAUGGCAGCAGUAGAGAGCCGUCUACUUGUUAUUAGUGGGUUUGCUGGCCAGAGAUGGUGCGGCUAAACUGCAAAUGGCUGUCGUGAUAGGGAUUGAGCCUUGUAAUUUUUGCUCAUGAAAGAGGAAUUCCUCGUAAGCACGAGUCAUCAGCUCGUGUUGAAUACGUCUCUGCCUCUUGUACACACCGCCCGUCGCUACUACCGAUUGAAUUGUGUUUAAAGCUGGCUGG